UACGAAGGGGGGCUAGCGUUGCUCGGAAUCACUGGGCGUAAAGGGUGCGUAGGCGGGUCUUUUAAGUCAGGGGUGAAAUCCUGGAGCUCAACUCCAGAACUGCCUUUGAUACUGAGGAUCUUGAGUUCGGGAGAGGUGAGUGGAACUGCGAGUGUAGAGGUGAAAUUCGUAGAUAUUGGGAAGAACACCGGUGGCGAAGGCGGCUAUCUGGACCGUAACUGACGCUGAGGCGCGAAAGCGUGGGGAGCAAACAGG
rnacentral:rRNA from 1 species